rnacentral:rRNA from 1 species
AGGAUGAACGCUGGCGGUCUGCUUAACACAUGCAAGUCGAACGGAGUACCUCGGUACUUAGUGGCGGACGGGUGAGUAACGCGUGAGAAUCUGCCCUUAGGUCGGGGACAACCAUUGGAAACGAUGGCUAAUACCGGAUGAGCCGAGAGGUAAAAGAUUAAUUGCCUAGGGAAGAGCUCGCGUCUGAUUAGCUAGUUGGUGAGGUAAAGGCUCACCAAGGCAUCGAUCAGUAGCUGGUCUGAGAGGAUGAUCAGCCACACUGGGACUGAGACACGGCCCAGACUCCUACGGGAGGCAGCAGUGGGGAAUUUUCCGCAAUGGGCGAAAGCCUGACGGAGCAAGACCGCGUGAGGGAGGAAGGCUCUUGGGUUGUAAACCUCUUUUCUUGGGAAGAACAAAAUGACGGUACCAAGGAAUCAGCAUCGGCUAACUCCGUGCCAGCAGCCGC